rnacentral:rRNA from 1 species
GAUGAACGCUGGCGGCGUGCCUAAUACAUGCAAGUCGAGCGAACAGAUAAGGAGCUUGCUCCUUUGAAGUUAGCGGCGGACGGGUGAGUAACACGUGGGUAACCUACCUAUAAGACUGGGAUAACUUCGGGAAACCGGAGCUAAUACCGGAUAACAUUUAGAACCGCAUGGUUCUAAAGUGAAAGAUGGUUUUGCUAUCACUUAUAGAUGGACCCGCGCCGUAUUAGCUAGUUGGUAAGGUAACGGCUUACCAAGGCGACGAUGCGUAGCCGACCUGAGAGGGUGAGCGGCCACACUGGAACUGAGACACGGUCCAGACUCCUACGGGAGGCAGCAGUAGGGAAUCUUCCGCAAUGGGCGAAAGCCUGACGGAGCAACGCCGCGUGAGUGAUGAAGGGUUUCGGCUCGUAAAACUCUGUUAUUAGGGAAGAACAAAUGUGUAAGUAACUGUGCACAUCUUGACGGUACCUAAUCAGAAAGCCACGGCUAACUACGUG